rnacentral:lncRNA from 1 species
GUCUCUCAAUAACGAGGGAUGAGUGCUGCUAGGAUGUUGAGACAGGAUGAAUUGGACUUGGUAAACAGAGAUCGUCAAGACCGUUAACCAGUGAAAAGAGUACAUUGAGGCUAUCCGUCUGGUGACCCGGACAUCGACGGCAGAGCGCUCAACCCCUUGCAGCUUGACAACUGCAGUGCGAUCCGCACCUUAACGAGUGUUCGCCACUUUCCUCUGUCUUCGGUUUUUCUCUGCCUUCUGCGCGUCGUCUUCAAAGCGUCUCUCCACUUUCAAAAUCACAACAAUACCCUUUUCAACUCCACGAGUGCAAACGGUGCGACCGACGGGACGUCGCCCGCCCUUGCCUCCAGUAUGCCUCACCUCUUUCUGCUGCUGUUCGUCGAGUUGCUUUUCCUGGUCUGCUCUGUUGAGGACGUCUUCAUCGACGAGAGAGGCCUUGGGAAAUUUCCUCUGAAGCAGCGGCAGCCAGACUUCGUCGCGCAGAGUCGCCUCCACAGUGCCUCUGCAGACGCGCCCGAGACUGAUGAUGUCUCCGACUUCCAAGAAGCUGCAGAGAAGAACGACCACGUCGACAUGCCCCAGCGCCUCUUCCGCCGGAGGCACCGGCUGAAGGAGUACGUACAGCUCGCCGCUCUCCUCACUCGCCGCCGCUGUCGCUUCAGCUGUAGGCGCCGCGAUGUCUGAAGAAGUUGAGGAAACUUGCGCGCUGGAAAAGCCGACCGCAGGGCCAGCAGACGGAGCAAGCAACGCGUCAGCCGAAGCGGAAUGUGCCUCCGAGAAGCGAGGAGACUGGGCGCCGUCAAAACUCGACACGGGACGGGCAGCCAGCCACGGAAAACAGCUGCUUUCUUCGUCGCGGACAGGCGCGUUGAACCACUCGACUUCGUCGUCGGAAGCGUCGGUGUCAGUGAACCUCGGGGAACCACAGACGGAGUCCGGUUGACCGUUCGUCCCCGUCGGAUCUUCGCAGGCUGACCUCGCCUCACUCCAGAAAAACGCUUCCCGCUUCGUACUCUCCAAAAGUCGACUUUCCCCGGCCUCGACGUUUCUGCUCCUUGUCGCGCGUCUCUUUGCCUUCUCAGCCUCGGCCGCUGCACGCCGUGUGUCGCGCCGCCGCUCUUCCUCUUGUCGCUGCGCCUCGAUCCGCUCCUCACAGGCCUUUCGCGAUCCGACAAAGAGAGACCUAGAGCUGCCAAGAGCCUUGGCAAGCCCCCGAGUCAAGUGCAGCAAGCCGCGGGAGACGCAAGCGGCAUCCAGCGCAACCAUUCGCGUACAGAGUUCCGCCAAAGGCAGCAUGUGUGGUGGCCCGGCGCUCUGCAGCACGCGCCCUGCGAGAAACUGCAGCUCUUCUUCGGCGCCUCGCAAAUCGAGAAGAUGUUUCCGCCGUGAAGCGCGCAGCGCGGCCGCGGAUCCGGUAGAACAUCCAUGAUCAGGUGGAUGCGCACUCGGGGGGGGCGGGGCUGCCGCCGGCGCGGAAGUGAAAGUGAGGGGAGCCAGUCGGGACAUUUUUUGGAACCUGCCACUGAGAAAGGAGGAAGAACCCAGCAACGAAAUUGAUAAAGGACCACAGAGGGGACCCGUAUGCGGGAAACACGAGGCAGUCUCGAGAAAACGCAACUCAGAACCCGACAAAUUCGCGAAUUCGAGUUUCGAAGCGGCGGAACGGUGCGCGACGGGUUCAGAGCAACUGGCUGUGACCCGCAGGCAAGGGUUAAAAGCCUUUGAGAGGCAAAGAACUUCCAAUGAGAAGAAUCACCAGGAAGAAACGCAAGUGCUGGACAGAGAAGAAAUGCGCCUUUUGGAACGAACUCUGUCUUCCCGGUGAAACCGAGGAGGCAGUGGCUCUUUCACAGGAGCGGGUUUACGAUCAACGAACGCACACUUUUCCUGACUUUCUUCCGCAGAGACUCCCCAACCUCCCUCUCGGCGAACUUCAAGGACUUCUGGAGCAGGAUUAGGCAGUGUUUUGGGAAUCAAAAAGUACAACAUGCGAAACCAGCAUCGUCCAGACCUGGGUCCGUAUGAGAACAGAACAAUAGCGACUGCUCUGCUUGAGCGCUUGAAGACAGGAAUUUGCCG